UGUGGAGGGGGAAAAAAAGUUAGAAUUAAAAAAAAAAAGAAACUAUGUUCUAAAUAAGAACACCGUAACUCAUGGAAAUACAAUCGUCCUAUUGAUCAUUUAUUAAGUAUUUAAAGAAGAGGAAUUUUUAAUUGGUCAAGCCAAGUUGCCAGCACUUUCAAGGCCUUCACAGAAGAGAAGUGGUUUUUCUUUAAGCUUUGAUACACUGCCUGCCCAGGCUGGAGCUCUCGACUUGAAUACGGCGAUUACAGUCUCCACCAGGGAGAUACCAGACCUUGGCAGGCAGCCAUACUGACCUGGAGCUUGCCAGAAUGGGAGUAAUUUUUAACUCUUGGAGUGAAGAAAAGAAAAACAAGGAGGCAAGAUACUAUUUGUUUCAACAAACAGAACGUGAAGUUGCUGAGGUUCCCCAAGGCCAUUUCUUUUUCCACUUCCUGGAGUGAAAGUAUAGAAAGAUUUGAUAGGAUGGAAAGAAAUCAGCCAUGGUGGCUGGGUGUGCUCCCUCUGUCCUUCAACACUCUUCCUGUGGUGAACCCGCUGUCCUGCCUUACUGACAGGAGCCAUAUAGAUGGUGAGUCUGUCACCACCGUCAGUCUGGCUGUACAUCAAGCUUUUUGCCUGGAUCUUGACAGAGGAAGACUUUUGACCCCAGGAAGAGACUUUACCCUUCUCAGUCUUGAGGUUCACAUUUGGAAAAAGGAACUGAGCCUGGACGAUGGCCAACAUUUUCUAGCUUUCUUUACUGUCUGUCUCCUGGGACCUCUAAACUCAAGAGCAUAAACUCUCAGGGAAAAGGAAAUCUCAGUGGCCCAUGUAGAGCUUGGACACCUUUCUGGAGCCUGUGGACAGCCAGGACCCAGAUUCCUAAUGGUGGAGGGGAAGGAAUGGCCUGCACUGAGAAAUGCCAAACAAGAAUCUUACACCAAGGUUCCUCCUCUAGGCUGCCCUAGGAAGAAGGGGAGCUUCCUCCUGCCCCUCACCCUAGUGUGUUGUGCUGCCUCUCACUGCCUAUCAGCACGUUGUCUUCAUUUCUCUACAAUUGGCCAGUUCAAGCUUAGAAGGCGGCUGACCAGGCAGUCUGACAGUAGCUGGGAAGGGAAGGGCCAUGCUAGAUGCAAGAAGAACUUAGGCUGGCUGCAGGGCUAGCUUUUCCUUUCUUGGAGCCAUAUUCCCAAAGGACCUCCCAACCAACCAGCUCAUGCAGAAGGUGCCCCUGAGGGCAGUGGGAGAGCCUGACAUCUCAGUCCAUAUGGAAUUCUUCAUGCUUUUGGGAAAUGUUUUGGACCCUUGCACACCAACAGAAAGAGACUGUGAUCUGCAAUUCUAAAGUUCCUAGCCUGUCUUGUGAAGCUUAUGGACUCCUUUGCAUAAAUAUGCCAACAUGCAUAUUGUACUCAAAAUUCAUAGAAUAUGCAAAAUAUGCAUAGCAAGUGCAAAAAUCCAAGUAAGUACAGAG